rnacentral:rRNA from 1 species
GGGGAAUAUUGGACAAUGGGGGGAACCCUGAUCCAGCCAUGCCGCGUGUGUGAAGAAGGUCUUCGGAUUGUAAAGCACUUUAAGUUGGGAGGAAGGGCUUUAGGUUAAUACCCUGAAGUUUUGACGUUACCAACAGAAUAAGCACCGGCUAACUUCGUGCCAGCAGCCGCGGUAAUACGAAGGGUGCAAGCGUUAAUCGGAAUUACUGGGCGUAAAGCGCGCGUAGGUGGUUUGGUAAGUUGGAAGUGAAAGCCCCGGGCUUAACUUGGGAAUGGCUUUCAAAACUGCUAAGCUAGAGUACGGUAGAGGGUAGUGGAAUUUCCUGUGUAGCGGUGAAAUGCGUAGAUAUAGGAAGGAACAUCAGUGGCGAAGGCGACUACCUGGACUGAUACUGACACUGAGGUGCGAAAGCGUGGGGAGCAAAC